GACCCCGCACAAGCGGUGGAUCAUGUUGUUUAAUUCGACGAUACGCGAAGAACCUUACCAGGCCUUGACAUACUCCGCAAAGCUUUAGAAAUAAAGUAGAGGUUAUCGGGGAUACAGGUGGUGCAUGGUUGUCGUCAGCUCGUGUCGUGAGAUGUUCGGUUAAGUCCGCUAACGAGCGCAACCCCUGUCUUUAGUUACUAACAUUAAGUUGAGCACUCUAGAGAGACUGCCCGAAAGGGAGGAAGGUCGGGAUGACGUCAAAUCAUCAUGCCCCUUACGGCCUGGGCUACAAACGUGAUACAAUGGCUGUUCACAAAGAGUCGCAAACCAGUGAUGGCAAGCUAAUCUCAAAAAAGCAGUCCCAGUUCAGAUUGAAGUCUGCAACUCGACUUCAUGAAGUCGGAAUCGCUAGUAAUCGCGAAUCAGAAUGUCG
rnacentral:rRNA from 1 species